rnacentral:rRNA from 1 species
AUUGAACGCUGGCGGCAGGCCUAACACAUGCCAGUCGAGCGGAUGAAGGGAGCUUGCUCCUGGAUUCAGCGGCGGACGGGUGAGUAAUGCCUAGGAAUCUGCCUGGUAGUGGGGGAUAACGUCCGGAAACGGGCGCUAAUACCGCAUACGUCCUGAGGGAGAAAGUGGGGGAUCUUCGGACCUCACGCUAUCAGAUGAGCCUAGGUCGGAUUAGCUAGUUGGUGGGGUAAAGGCCUACCAAGGCGACGAUCCGUAACUGGUCUGAGAGGAUGAUCAGUCACACUGGAACUGAGACACGGUCCAGACUCCUACGGGAGGCAGCUGUGGGGAAUAUUGGACAAUGGGCGAAAGCCUGAUCCAGCCAUGCCGCGUGUGUGAAGAAGGUCUUCGGAUUGUAAAGCACUUUAAGUUGGGAGGAAGGGCAGUAAGUUAAUACCUUGCCGUUUUGACGUUACCAACAGAAUAAGCACCGGCUAACUUCGUG